CAAGUGUAAGCCCGCCGCCUCUGCCCUUUGUAACGGGCAAGAUGUAGUACUUACUGCCAGCUCGGAGCUGCUUACCGGCGAUGUCCAGCACCGGAUCAGGUGAAGCAUUGCCCCUGACGGGCAAUGGCGUUGCAAUGAAGGCAAAGAGAAGAAUCAGCGAGGGUAAGACUACUUCUCAUUGUUAUAUUGUUAUAUUUUUUGUUCUUAUCUUUUGUUGUUGCGUGUAAAUAACCCUUAUGAGGCCAAAUUUAUAGAGUUAGGCUAGUAUAGUUAAUUGACGGACAGCAAGUUGGUUUGAUUCGCCUAAUGUCCGAUUCCAGAAGCCAAUGGUCGCCCAUAAGACAAGAGCGGAUUAUCACAUUCUGCUUUGUGUACUGUAAUUAUUAUUUUUUUUUUCCCGCCUAAACAGCCUGAUAAGAAGAUUUAAUACAAAUUCAACAAUAGAAAGCGUAGUCUAGUAAGAAAGUCAAAGAUUUAAUUUAGAGUUAGAAGUCAAUACCCUUAUCUUUUCUCUUACACUAAAUUUAACGGAAUUUAGAUCUGAUUCCUGUGUCUUUGUUGAUGGUUUCGUCAUUUUAUUUAAAUUGCAUUGUAUAUAUGUUUAAUUUUAAAGAAUUUUUUUUUUUUUUUGGUGCUGAAGUUAGUCUCGUCAAGCUAGGAGUUUAUCGAAAAAUUAAUGUAGCAAAGAUAUGAUAAAGCAUAUGUUUAGGGAGGCACAACUUGGGCCCUCUCCUUGAAUAUAAAAAUUGCACCAAGAUUUUGAAAACAAGAAAUGAUGUAAAGAGACAUAUAGAUGAUGAUAUCAAAACAUAUUACUAGCAGAUCUAUUUGCUAAGUUAUAUGGAGAUGUCUGUUAGUAUUAAAAUAUGUGAAAUUAUCAGUUAUAUACUCUAAGUUUGUCUUGUUAUAAAAAAUAUUAAGUAAUUUUAAAUUUGUUUGGUUUUUCACUCUAAGUUUGUAAAUUAUAACCGUAUACAAACUCAAGGUGGAAAAUGAAAUAAAUUCAAACUUUUGUUGUCGAUUUUUUUAUAACAUGGUGAACUUAGGGUAUAUGGCUUAUAAUUUUUUUAAAUUUUAUUUUAUUAUUUACAGUGAAAAGUCAAAAAUACCCUUGAAUUUAAGGGUAAAAUGAUCUUCUCACUUAGAUUCUGUUGAAUGUACAAUAGUGUUAACAUUUGGGUGGGGGAUAAUACAAUUUACAAACUUAGGGUGAAAAAUCAAAUAAAUUCAAAUUUUUGUAUUAUUGUUUAUACCACAGUAAAGUUAGUAUAUAUAGUGAAUAAUUUCCCUUUAUUUAUUUAUGUUUAGGCCCAUUUUUUAGCCCAAAUAGACUACAAUAUUAAUGAAUUUGUCUUCAAAAGGAAUUGGAGUAGGGAUGGCGAAUUGAUCCAUCCAAGUUGGAUAUCGAUAUAUCCAAUCUAAUUGGAUUAGAUAAUAUCUAUCUGAUACAUUUUAGAUAUGGAUAUGGAAUUUUUUUUUUUAAAUAUCCAAUUAGAUAUUGGAUGGAUAUAAAUAUUAGAUGGCAAUCCAUUUAUUUGAUUGGUUUGAAAAAUAAUAUUUUAUAAAACUAAAACAAAGUGAAAAAUUAUAUUUUGCAUAAUAUUCAUUUACCCGAAUGUCAUAUCCCUUUUAUAUUUUUAAUUUAACAAAUCCUAAAUUAUCUCUUUUUACUUCACACGUCGGCUACUGGUUGCUCACGAGCCAUUGAUCACACCGGUUGUUGCUUGUUCACGGGACAUUGAUAUUAGUUUUUUCACGACUUUGCUAUCUCCUCUCAGCAUUACGGCUUCUUCUUUUUCUUAUUUAACAUAUCUUUCUUUUUAUCUUUCUCUCAGUGCAUUAAUAACUACAUGUGUUAGCUUUUAUUUUAUGUCUGUGUUUUGAUAUCAAUUGAUGGUCCAAAUGUUGCGUGAACUGUGGAAGUUGUCUUCUUUGCUUGAGUUAAAUGAACCAUUUGAAACAUAUUGGUAAUUUGUUGUUCGCGUGUUAAUUUAUGGAUAAUUCGACAUAAUUCACAUGUAGAAAUUAAUUUUGAAAUUUAUGGGCUAAAUAAAUUUUAUGGACUAAAAGUUCCUUCCAAACACCUGCCUUUUUCUUGUAAACUAAAACUUACUGGGUAAAAAUUGUUAUUGUUUCAAUUGCUUUGUUUGUGAGUGUAUAAUUUGAUGAAUAUUGGAUUUGAAAUAUUUUGUAAACGUCACUUUUGGUCAAUAUUUGUGAGUGCAAGAUUUGAUGUCCCAUGCUAACACAUGUAGUCGAAUUUAAUUUAGUAUGGGGGGUCGAUUUUUAACCCCACAUUGUAGUAGACUUUAUCCUAGUGCGUUAGAGACCUUAAUGUGUGCUCAUAUAUAUGGGCUCAAAUAAAAAGUAUCAAACUCAUCUGAGUUCCACAUUUUAUUUAAAUUUGAUAACAUUUGUUUACAUUUUAUUUCAAAACAGCUUUAAUUUUUUUUAACAAAAAAAAGAAAGAUGAAAUUCCUAAAGAUAAGCUGAUAACAGAGAAGAAAUAAAUAGAGAAGUGACUAAUAAUGAUGAUAAAUAUGAGAUAUAGCCAUGUUUUCAAUAGUGCUUAUUUUUUCUUUUUGUGUGUACGCGCUUGAUGCUCAUUAUGAUGCUAUCAUGGUCAUACAUAAUACAAAUUAUUUACUUAUUUAAUGCUUUAAUUGUAUUAAUUUGCAGAUUUAUGAUGAUGGUCAAAUUGGAGAUUGAAAGUUUAAUUGUAAGUCAUUACAAACAAGGCUUAUUAGAAGAAUAAUUUUUUUUUGGUUUUUUAGUUUGAAAUUAAUUUGUAAUUUUAGAUGAUAGUUUCUUUUUUGUGAAUUUGUAGUUAUGAUAUUUGUUAUUUGGAUGUUUAUUAUUUCUAAUUUAAUAUUAAAAUCUGAUAUUGGUUUAACUAUUUUAUAUUUUUAUUUUUAUUUCAUAUUUUUUGUUGUCUUUUUAUAUGAAAAAAAUUAAAUAUACGUGGAUAUCCAUAUCCAUAUCCAGUUUUAAAAAUUAGAUAUUAAUACGGACAUAUCCAUCAUAACUAAUUAUGAAUUUACACUUGAAUGGAUACUUGCCAUCCAUAGAUUGGAGUAGCUUGAUCAAAUGGCAUUCGACGAACUGGAUAUUGGUAGGAUGGUGUGUGUGUGUGUGUAUGUGUGUGCGUGCACAUGUGUGUGUGUGUGUGUGUGUGUGUGUUCACAAUCAGCAAGAAAAUGCUUUAUUACAUGCUUAACAAAAGUGCUUGACGUGUUUGAUAUCGCAAAAACAACAUCACCAUCCAUUAAUAACACUCCUCUUACAUUUUACAACGCCGUCUUUUCGAGAAGGCAAAAUGGGUUGAUUGGUUGAAUUUGUGUCAAAUCCUAAAUAACUUGUUGCUAAGUUUUGGAAUUUAUAUUCAAUCUAUUUAUUAAAUGAAUCAUAACAUAAAUUAUUUUUUGGUUUGAUUCCUUUAUCUUUAAGUAACAAAUGAAUCGAAUCGAAUUUUGAUUGGUUUAAUUUGUUCAUCAAUAAUCAUACUAUUUAUUUUUUUCUUUUUCAUCAGUUAAUUAUGAAACUAGUGUUACCGCUAAUACUUUUUGUAUUAAAUUUAAAAUUAUAAAUUUGACUAAGAAUCUUAAUUAACAAAUAUAAAUUUUUGAAUAUGAAUUCCUUGGGAAGCAAAGAAUCAAUGUUUUUAGUGGAUUUUGGGUUAAACCACAAAUGGGUAAAAUCACAUCAGAAACAAUGAAUUUGUUUUGAGGGGUUUGGGGUACCUCAUUGAGUUGUGGUGUGUAGGCUGAUUUGGGCUUACGAAAGAGCUAAAGAAGAGGAAAUUUCGGAUGGCAGCAGCGAGGGGGUCUAGACGAGAAUUGGAAAUCUUGAAGAAACGCCUCCCAAUCUGCAAAAUAAGGAAAUGAGGUUAGAGGUGGAGCCAGCGGUGGUCGGCAACCACACUCCGGCUCAAGUUAGCUACUUGGGCUUUUUAAGUGAUGAGAGCUUGCAAGCCCUCUGUAAAAGUGGUAGCUGGAGGUUGGAGAAGACCUCAGCCCCUUGGUUUUGUGUGUGUGUGUGUUGGUGAUAAAUUUAGAAAGUAUGAGUGUAUGAGGUCAUUAGAGAGAGAUUAAACCUUUUUGGCCUUUAUAUAGCACAACAUGAGUACCUUACCAUGUGGCACGCCUUUAUUGGAGAUUUUUAUGGUCCUUGCUGAGAUUUUUCAUGUCCUUUUAUUAUUAUUGUGGUUUUCUAGUCGUUUGGAAUAUGCUUGGAGAGCAAGAAGGCGGUUUUAGACAGGUGCAGUCGUUUGGUGCACGUGGCGUACACUGCAGGUGGUCCAAGGUUCUUUUUGCAAAAGUUGUCUACAUAAUGACAAUUAUGGCAACCAAAUAACCACUGUCCUUUUGGGGCUGCUUCUGAUUUUAAUUAAUUUUCACAGCUAGUUGUCUCCCUUUUUUUGACAAAUCAUAUUUGAUUUGAUGGAAUCAAAUCAAAUAUUCUUUUUGGGCGCACAUGAUGGCCGUUUUUGGGUACUUUCGUCAGAUCUUUGAUUUUGCUAAGGCGUGCCCCGCAUAUUAGUCUUCCUAAAGGGUGUUCUUGGUGCAGGUCAGGUACUUUAAGAGGUCUACUUUCAGCAAUUAAAGUUCCUUUAUCGACACGUGGCGCUUGGUUUUAAAUUUCUUUAUUUAUUCCCCCAAACAAUCAGAAUUUUAUUUGAAAAUAAAAUGCCAAACUCCGAAAUAAUCCACUCUCCUAUAUCAAUCAUCCUUGGUGCCCGUAUUUUUUUCUACGACUAGCUGAACUUUUGACAUAAAUAUUUCUUAUUUUACCAUUUACUCACCGAGUAUGAUAUAAUAAUAAAUAAUCACUCACCAUCAAUGAUUUGCAGAUGAAGAAGAUAGAGCAAAUGGAACACAUGAAAUACAUUUGGUGCAAAAAUGUGGUCUCUAAUCAGGAAAAGGAUCAACCAAAAUACCAACAGGAAGAAAAGCUUUUAUUGUUCGUAAACAUGCAACAUCAAUGCAACUUUUAUUAUUGCGACUUUAUUCAUUUAUUAAAGCGUGCGUACAACUUUAAAACGAAACAAACUUUAAUGCAACUUAUAUAAUUUAUUUUAAUCUCAAUUUAUAUGAUUUACUUAAUUUAUAAUAAAUAUAAAAAAAAAUGUAUUCGAAAAUAAAAUAAAGUAAUAUUAUUAAAUAACGGUGUCUAGUGAUUAUUACUUAUUAUAAAAAUAGUAAGGAAAUAAAUCAUAUAAAUUAUUAAAUAAUAUAUAUAUUCAUUUCAGUAGGGACAAAACUAACUAUCACUUUUUUUUCUAGAAAAUGUUAUCAGUAUAUCAUCUACGUAUGGUUUACCCAUUACAGUCCCAUGGUUGGCUUCUUUAAUUUUACAUAUUUUAUGCUAUAAUCAAGUCAAGUUCAUAGAUUCUUAUGGCUCUCGUCAAAUCAAAAUCCUGUGUUACAAGAACUUAAUGCAUAAUUUUUUCUUACUGGAAUUGAAUUAUCACACAAGAACUUAAUGCAUAAUUUUUUCUUACUGGAAUUGAAUUAUCACAAUGGUUUAAUCUCCUUCGUAAUUUAAAAUGAAAAUGUUGACACCAAUCAGGAAAAUGAUGAACCAAAAUACCCACAUGAAGAAAAAAAGUAUUUAUUAUUAAUAGACAUGCAACAUUGAUGCAACUUUUAUUAUUACAACUUAAUUUAUUCAUUUAUUAAAGCAUGCGUACAACUUUAAAACAAAACAAACUUUAUUUUUGACUGGAAGCAUUUGCGGAGCUCUCAGCAGCUCGAUCUUCAAACCUUUUUAAACACAACUUUGAACGGAACAUCACUCAAAGCCAGACGCCGCACCCCACCAUUAAUAAAAAUGCCAACAUCUCUGCACAAACCUCUGCAGAAAUUACAAACCGAAGGACAGUAGACAAGCUUGUAAUCACCAAAAAAACUUCUCAAUCUUAAACCAAUUUCUCAUGGUUCUGGGGCCGGGAUUGCCUUCACCUCCCCCAGUUGUCACAAGCCACUGCCCUAAUACCGCAUCAAAAUUGUCAAGCUUCCAAACUGUUGACUACGCACAACUUGUUGCAGCGUCAAAUUUGAUGUUUAAGUCAGUGGACUCACGAACAACGCCUUUUUUAGGGUUAAGGGCGAAAAUGUUACAGGCAAACCAUUUUUAAGUGAGUGCUGCUCUUGAACAACAUCUAGGGGACAUGUCUAAUUUUUGCUUCUGCCAGCAAGUGUAAGCUCGCCACCUCGGCCCUUUCCAACGGGCAAGAUGUAGUACUUACUGCCAGCUCGGAGCUGCUUGCCGGCGAUGUCCAGCACCGGAUCAGGUGAAGCAUUGCCCCUGACGGGCAAUGGCGUUGCAAUGAAGGCAAAGAGAAGAAUCAGCGAGGGUAAGACUACUUCUCAUUGUUAUAUUGUUAUAUUUUUUGUUCUUAUCUUUUGUUGUUGCGUGUAAAUAACCCUUAUGAGGCCAAAUUUAUAGAGUCAGGCUAGUAUAGUUAAUUGACGGACAGCAAGUUGGUUUGAUUCGCCUAAUGUCCGAUUCCAGAAGCCAAUGGUCGCCCAUAAGACGAGCGGAUUAUCAGAUUCUGC
rnacentral:lncRNA from 1 species